rnacentral:rRNA from 1 species
AAAUUGAAGAGUUUGAUCAUGGCUCAGAUUGAACGCUGGCGGCAGGCCUAACACAUGCAAGUCGAACGGUAACAGGAAGCAGCCAGCCGUCAUUAAUGAGUGGCGCAUGGUAAUGUCUGGGAAACUGCCUGAUUGAGGGGAUAACCACUGGAAACGGUAUUACCACCGUACAAACGCACCGUUAUGUAACCUUGGCCCUUGCCAUCGGAUGCGCCCAGAUGGAUUAGCUUGUUGGUGGGCAACGACACCAGUGUUGACAUCCCUAGCUGGUCUGAGAGGAUGAAUCUGUUUCACAUCUGGAACUGGAGACAAUGGUCCACUCUACGGGAGGCAGCGUAGCAAUAUUGCACAAUGGGCGCGUUCUACGCAGCCAUGCCGCGUAAGCGAAGAAGGCCUUCGGUUGUGGUAAAGUACUUUCAGCGGAGGAAGUGGCGUGCCAUUGUUCUUUACCAUUGACGCCGCCCCAAGGGCGAAGCACCACAACUCCGUGCCAGCGCGCCGCGGUAAUAUUGAUGCAAGCGUUAAUUCCUGAAAUUACGUCAUGCAAAGCGCACGUGCAGGCGGUUUUGUUGUUGGCGAAACUCCUCGGCCCAACCUCGGAACUGCAUCUGAUGUAAUUCUUGGCAAGCUCGAGUCCGUGAGGUAGUAUAACCUGUGUAGCGGUGAAAUGCGUAGAUCCGAGGAAUUUCUGUGCGAAGGCGGCCCCCGAAUAGUAUCGAUCGCCUUCAGGGUGCGAAAGUGGGAAGCAACAGGAUUAGAUACCCCGGUAGCCCCACGCCAAACGAUGUCGACUGAGGUAUUUCAGCGCCCCUGAGGCGUGUGGUUUUCCGAGCUAAUCGCGUUAAGUCGACCGUCUCCGGAGCAGGGCGUUAAAACCUAAAUGAAUGGAUUUGGGCCCGCACAAGCGGUGGUGAAUGUGGUUUAAUUCGAUGCAACGCGAAGAACCUUUACCCCGGUCUUGGACAUCCACGGAAGUUUUCAGAGAUGAAAUGUGCCUCGGGAAACGUGAGACAGAAGCUGCAAUGGCUUUGCCGCCGUCGUGCCAGGUUGCUGGCAUCCCGGCAACGGCGCAACCUUAAUCCCCGCUGUUGUGCUAUCCGGGCUUAGAACUCAGCGAGACUCGCCAGUGAUAAAAUUGAGGAAGGUGGGGAUGACGUCAGUCAUCAUACCCGGCAUGACCGUGGCUGUACCACGUACAAAGGCGCAUAAGCAAAGAGAAGCUGACUCUGAAAGGCGGACCUCACAAAGCGGCGUCGUAGUCCGGAUUGAGGUCUGCAACCUGACCUGCUGGUACCGGAAUCGCCAGGUAAUCGAUCAGAAUGCCACGGUGAAUACGUUCCCGGCCCAGGCCAUCACCACCGUCAGCCACCAUGGAGGUAAUGGUAAAGAAGUAGGUAGCUUAACCUUCGGGAGGGCGCUUACCACUUUGUGAUUCAUGACUGGGGUGAAGUCGUAACAAGGUAACCGUAGGGGAACCUGCGGUUGGAUCA